rnacentral:rRNA from 1 species
GACGAACGCUGGCGGCGUGCUUAACACAUGCAAGUCGAACGGUGAAGCUCCAGCUUGCUGGAGUGGAUCAGUGGCGAACGGGUGAGUAACACGUGAGCAACCUGCCCCUGACUCUGGAAUAAGCGCUGGAAACGGCGUCUAAUACUGGAUACGAGAAGGGUCCGCAUGGGCACUUUCUGGAAAGUUUUUCGGUUGGGGAUGGGCUCGCGGCCUAUCAGCUUGUUGGUGAGGUAAUGGCUCACCAAGGCGACGACGGGUAGCCGGCCUGAGAGGGCGACCGGACAAACAGGGACGGAGAAACGGCCCAGACACCUACGGGGGGCAGGAGUGGGGAAUAAUGCAGAAGGGGCGAAAGCCUGAUGCAGGGACGCAGGGGGGGGGGAGGAGGCCUUCGGGUUGUAAACCUCUUUAGGGAGGGAAGAAAGAAAAGAGGAGGUAACUGCAGGAAGAGCACAGGAUAACAAAGU